rnacentral:rRNA from 1 species
UACGUAGGGUGCGAGCGUUGUCCGGAAUUAUUGGGCGUAAAGAGCUCGUAGGCGGUCUGUCGCGUCGGUCGUGAAAACUUGGGGCUUAACCCUGAGCUUGCGGUCGAUACGGGCAUGACUGGAGUUCGGUAGGGGAGACUGGAAUUCCUGGUGUAGCGGUGAAAUGCGCAGAUAUCAGGAGGAACACCGGUGGCGAAGGCGGGUCUCUGGGCCGAUACUGACGCUGAGGAGCGAAAGCGUGGGGGGCGAACAGG